GGGGAGUUAAAACACAACCCAUGUCCGGCAUUGGAUCAGGGUCUGGUGAAGGGGCUGGAGGCGCCAUGUCGGGCCGGGAAGGUGGCAAAAAGAAGCCUCUGAAACAGCCCAAGAAGCAGGCCAAGGAGAUGGACGAGGAAGAUAAGGCGUUCAAGCAGAAACAAAAGGAGGAACAGAAAAAACUCGAGGAGCUAAAAGCCAAGGCCGCGGGGAAGGGCCCCUUGGCCACGGGUGGAAUUAAGAAAUCUGGCAAAAAGUAAGCUGUUCUCACAUCUGAGGUGAUGGUGACCCUCCUCGUCCAUUCCUAUUUAAACAUCUGGAUUCCCUGCCAUAACAUCUUUGCCACCUUAAUAGUUAGAAUGAAGUGUUAUCCUGGAGCCUGUUGUACAUUGUAAUAAACUUUUGU